ensembl:miRNA gmo-mir-11242 gmo-mir-11242
GAGGCUGGCAGAAGCCCUGGGUGGAGGUGAGUCGUAAGCAGGUAGUGUUGGCUAUGGUCUGUGGGCUGUGUCUGGCCCAA